AUGAGACGCAAGUAACCUGACUGGUGGGAUGGCUUGUGCCUGCACCAUCGACCGACCAUGAUCUUCUGUGAAAGGUUUGAGUACGAGCAUACCUGUUGGGACCCGAAAGAUGGUGAACUAUGCCUGAGCAGGGCGAAGCCAGAGGAAACUCUGGUGGAGGCUCGUAGAUGUGCUGACGUGCAAAUCGCUUUUCGGACUUGGGUAUAGGGGCGAAAGACUAAUCGAACCAUCUAGUAGCUGGUUCCCUCCGAAGUUUCCCCCAGGAUAGCUGGAGCUUGAUCAGUUUUAUCAGGUAAAGCGAAUGAUUAGAGGUACCGGGGAUGAAACAUCCUCGACCUAUUCUCAAACUUUAAAUAGGUAAGACGUCUGGGUUGCUUAAUUGAACCCAGGCAUUCAAUGAGAGCUCCAAGUGGGCCAUUUUUGGUAAGCAGAACUGGCGAUGCGGGAUGAACCGAAAGCUGAGUUAAGGCA
rnacentral:rRNA from 1 species